rnacentral:rRNA from 1 species
GACGAACGCUGGCGGCGUGCUUAACACAUGCGAGUCGAACGGAAAGGCCCUGCUUUUGUGGGGUGCUCGAGUGGCGAACGGGUGAGUAACACGUGAGUAACCUGCCCUUGACUUUGGGAUAACUUCAGGAAACUGGGGCUAAUACCGGAUAGGAGCUCCUGCUGCAUGGUGGGGGUUGGAAAGUUUCGGCGGUUGGGGAUGGACUCGCGGCUUAUCAGCUUGUUGGUGGGGUAGUGGCUUACCAAGGCUUUGACGGGUAGCCGGCCUGAGAGGGUGACCGGCCACAUUGGGACUGAGAUACGGCCCAGACUCCUACGGGAGGCAGCAGUGGGGAAUAUUGCACAAUGGGCGGAAGCCUGAUGCAGCAACGCCGCGUGGGGGAUGACGGCCUUCGGGUUGUAAACCGCUUUCGCCUGUGACGAAGCGUGAGUGACGGUAAUGGGUAAAGAAGCACCGGCUAACUACGUG